rnacentral:rRNA from 1 species
CCUACGGGUGGCUGCAGUCGAGAAUCUUCCGCAAUGGGCGAAAGCCUGACGGAGCGACGCCGCGUGACUGAUGAAGUCCUUCGGGAUGUAAAGGUCUUUUAUGAGCCAGAAAGUUUAUUGAUCAGCUCAUGAAUAAGAGGUUGCUAAACUCGUGCCAGCAGCAGCGGUAAUACGAGUGCCUCAAGCGUUAUCCGGAAUUAUUGGGCGUAAAGGGUGUGUAGGCUGUUAUAUUAGUCCCGUGUUAAAACCUUCGGCUUAACCGAAGAUCUGCAUGG